ACGGAGGGUGCAAGCGUUAUCCGGAAUCACUGGGUUUAAAGGGUGCGUAGGCGGCUUGAUAAGUCAGGGGUGAAAGCCCACAGCUUAACUGUGGAAUUGCCUUUGAUACUGUCAGGCUUGAAUUAGGUUGAGGUUGGCGGAAUGUGACAUGUAGCGGUGAAAUGCAUAGAUAUGUCAUAGAACACCAAUUGCGAAGGCAGCUGGCUAGACCUUAAUUGACGCUGAGGCACGAAAGCGUGGGGAGCGAACAGG
rnacentral:rRNA from 1 species